UGUCCCGGCUAACCCCGGAGAGCAGCCCCCGCGGGACUCCUGGUGGUGACUUUCCCUGGUGGUGACUUUCUUGGCUAGUGUUUGGGACGAGAGCUCUUCAUCUGGCACGUUUUCUAGCAGCAUGGACCGGGCUGUUAAGGCGCACUUAAGUCCAUCAGGCCCGAGUGGGAAUCCAAGAAGAAGCCCAGUGGGGUUGCCUCCCAGGUGGUCAGGGCUACUCCCCAAUGCCACCCACCUCAACAUCAUGGCUAGCCUGUCUACAUGCUCACUGGCCCGUGGAUUCCUGUGCCCAUGGACUCCUGGCACACCUCUCCCUUUCUGAGAUAUCAUUCCAGGAAAUUUCUCUUCUACUUAAGUGAACCAGAGUCCAUUUCUGUUGUCUGCAAUUAAGAACCCUAAUCGGCACAAAGACCCAUUGAAAUCUUCAGCCAGAGGAAGUGACAUGAUCAGAGCACUUUAUGGGCGAGAAAAAAUAGAAAAAUCUGAUAAAGAUAGAUUGAAGAGAGAAAAACAGGAAUGAGAGAGGCCAGUUGGGAGGUCUUCAUGACGUUUGGGGUGUAUGAUGAAGCACGAGAUUGCCAGUGCCAAAGAAGUGGGAGAAACAGCAGCUUUUGGCCACUGACUGGAUAUGGAAAAAAGAAGAGAAGGGAAAGUCCACGUUGACAGAGUUUUGAGUCUUAGCAACUAGGAAAACAAUAAUGUUACAAAGAGAAACAAGCAAGUCAAGGAAAACAGUUUGGAGGGGGAAAUCUUCCAUUCAUUUAUUCAACAACUAUUAAUUGCCUGCUCUAUGCCAGGCACUGUUCUAGGCAUUGGGAAGACAGCAGUGGGGAAAACAAAGUCUCAGUUCUAAAUUAAUAAAUACAUACAUGAGAUAA